UUAACUUUUAUAACUAAAACAACUCCCCAUAGUUCUCUUUUCACCUGUGAAUAUGCACGUUGGCGAAUAGUUAAAAUCUUACCUCCAAAUUGUACUACAAAUCUAUGUCCAUUCAAGUCAUUUUGACCUACAAUCCAUCCAAAGGCAAUUGGACUAGUAUCCACAGUAAGAAUCACUCGUCUUUUAUACUUAUAAUCAACUUUUCUCAACAUUGGAGGUAAUAUCAAUAAUUUCUUUAAUCUUUUCACUACUUUAACAUGCUUUUCUUUCCAUUUAAAUUAAUAGCCCUUGCAUAACAAUUCAUACAAUAAAUCCGCUAUGUGAGCAUAAUGAGGAAUUCAAAUACGAUAAAACAUACAUACAUCUAAAAACCUACAAACCUCUGUUAAAAAACUACAAUCUUCUUUUAUUCUCUCAAUCACAU
rnacentral:lncRNA from 1 species